GAGGAUUUAGCUCAGUGGUAGAGCGCUUGCCUAGCAAGCACAAGGCCCUGGGUUCGGUCCCCAGCUUUG
rnacentral:tRNA from 1 species